UACGUAGGGUGCGAGCGUUGUCCGGAAUUAUUGGGCGUAAAGAGCUUGUAGGCGGUUUGUCGCGUCUGCCGUGAAAAUCCGGGGGCUCAACCCCGGACUUGCGGUGGGUACGGGCAGACUAGAGUGUGGUAGGGGAGACUGGAAUUCCUGGUGUAGCGGUGAAAUGCGCAGAUAUCAGGAGGAACACCGAUGGCGAAGGCAGGUCUCUGGGCAUUAACUGACGCUGAGACACGAAAGCCAGGGGAGCAAACGGG
rnacentral:rRNA from 1 species